ensembl:lncRNA
CACAUGGGCUGCAAGGGAACACCUGCUCCACCGGUGUCUCUCCUCCUCCUUCUCUGGCCUGGCUGUUCCUAUGGCUAUUUCUCACACUUUUACCCUCACUCCUCAGUGCUGGGCAGUGUUUUGCCCUCAAACACACUGCCCCACUGCCAGGCCCAGCUGUGCCCUGCGCUGUGGUGGCCAAAAGCAGCUGUGUGUGGUACAGGGCAGCCCUGGCCUCACCUCACAGAACUCUGCAGCCAUACUGCUGUGAAAGCCUCACUGUGCACACCCAGCAGUAGUCUUUAAGAUGGUUUCUUUUCCAUGGGGUAUGCUUGGCAUAGCCAGCCUGAGAUUGCUGCUGGCUCAGCUGUGACAGAGCACCGAGCAGGGCCCAGGGAGGCAGCGUCAGAGAGGAGGGCCUGAGCAUGUCAGAGCUCUCCACAAGCACUAUGCUCCCUGGGAAUGCUUGUUAAAGGGGAGAAGUACUUCUGUCUGCAUCUAGUGAAGUCAGCCCUAUAGUAGAUGAAAUACUAAACUGCUCUGGCCAGAGAUUACACAUCCUGAUGCUCACAGAGUCUUCCAUAGAACAUAUUGCAAGGCAUAAGCAGGCAGCAGAAGUAGAGGAUCAUAACACAAAUUCUACUAUUUCCUAACAUCUAAGACCUGCAUUUUGCAACUUGAUAGGAUAUUAUUUUAUGUUAGGUGUGAGUUUACACAGUCACUUGUUUUAUUGAAAAACCUUAAUUACGUAAGCAAGAGUUUCCCCACUUAAUGCUAACUUCUGCAUGGAUUAUCUGUGGGAUUGGUACUUUCUGAGAACCAAACUUACAGAAAUCUGAUCUGUAAAAUAGAAUUUUCUUAUGGCUUUUAACAUGUGAGAUUAUGAAGAUGUAUUUGUAUAAUAUAAUUAGAUUUUGUCCUAGUAAUCACUUUUUAAAGGUACAAAACAAAUACUUAGAAAAUAUUGUCUGG